rnacentral:rRNA from 1 species
UUCCGGUUGAUCCUGCCGGACCCGACUGCUAUUUGGGUGAGAAUAAGCCAUGCGAGUCGAAUGGGAUACCUAACUUUCCCAUGGCAGACUGCUCAGUAACACAUGAUCAACUUACCCUAUAGAGGAAGAUAACCUCGGGAAACUGAGGAUAAUAUUUCAUAGUUGAAUCGGCUUGGAAAAGUUUUUCAAUUAAAGGAAUAAGAUAAAUGGUUCUUAUUUGCUAUAGGAUAGGAUCGUGGACGAUUAUGGUUGUUGGUGAGGUAACGGCUCACCAAGCCGAUAAUCGAUAGGGGCCGUGAGAGCGGGAGCCCCGAGAUGGGUACUGAGACAACGACCAGGCCUUACGAGGCGCAGCAGGCGCGGAACCUCCGCAAUACACGAAAGUGUGACGGGGUUACCCAAAGUGUUCAAUCUUGAACUGUGGUAGGUGAGUAAUGUUCCCUACUAGAAAGGAGAGGGCAAGGCUGGUGCCAGCCGCCGCGGUAAAACCAGCUCUUCAAGUGGUCGGGAUAAUUAUUGGGCUUAAAGUGUCCGUAGCCGGUUUAGUAAGUUCCUGGUAAAAUCGGGUAGCUUAACUAUCUGUAUGCUAGGAAUACUGCUAUACUAGAGGGCGGGAGAGGUCUGAGGUACUACAGGGGUAGGGGUGAAAUCUUAUAAUCCUUGUAGGACCACCAGUGGCGAAGACGUCAGACUGGAACGCGCCUGACGGUGAGGGACGAAAGCCAGGGGAGCGGACCGGAUUAGAUACCCGGGUAGUCCUGGCCGUAAACGAUGCAUACUAUGUGAUGGUAAGGCCAUGAGCCGUAUCAGUGCCGUAGGGAAACCGUUAAGUGUGCCGCCUGGGAAGUACGGUCGCAAGGCUAAAACUUAAAGGAAUUGGCGGGGGAGCACUACAAGGGUGAAGCCUGCGGUUCAAUUGACUCACGCGGAUUGAUCAGCAAUGAUCACGCGAUCGUCG